AAGAGAAGAUAACUCUGUUGUGGAGGAUACCAUGUUGUGUUUACAGUUUUGAAACAUUUGUGAACACAGCUGGUGGUAUCUUCUAUAAGCAGAGUAUUUCA
rnacentral:pre_miRNA from 1 species